rnacentral:rRNA from 1 species
AUUGAACGCUGGCGGCAGGCCUAACACAUGCAAGUCGAGCGAGCGGGGGCCGGGUGAGUAAUGUCUGGGAACCUGCCUGAUGGAGGGGGAUAACUACGGGAACCGGUAGCUAAUACCGCAUACAAUCAGAUUUGCCCAGACGGGGUUAGAUAGACGGUGGGGGAAUGGCUCACCUCGGCGACGAUCCCUAGCUGGUUUGAAAGGAUGACCAGCCACACUGGAACUGAGACACGGUCCAGACUCCUACGGGAGGCAGCAGUGGGGAAUAUUGCACAAUGGGCGCAAGCCUGAUACAGCCAUGCCGCGUGUAUGAAGAAGGCCUUCGGGUUGUAAAGUACUUUCAGCGGGGAGGCGUUACCCGCAGAAGAAGCACCGGCUAACUCCGUGCCAGCCGCCGCGGUAAUUC